rnacentral:lncRNA from 1 species
CAACCAAUCGCCGAGGAGCACCACCCACCGAGCGACUGCUCAUUGGCAAAAGUGGCCGUCAAGUACACACGUCACGCAACAGCCAGGAUGGGCGGGGCAGAACUCUCGCCUUGGCUGCCCGAGUGAGUGUGAGUGUGAGAGCGAGAACAGCCCGCAGGUCCCGAGGCGCUUGCAGGGGACUCUGCCGCGGAAAGUUCCCAGUCCCCAGCCGCAGAUACUCUGGAAAAUAGGAAGAGAACCCAACCCAACCCAAACUGAAAGUACCAAAAUAUGUGAAAUCCGUACAGCAAAGAUGAUGAGCUUUCUGGGAGGAGAUACUGAAAGAAGAGUAAUUCUGUCCAGGGGGUCACUUCGAGAUCAUCCCUCUCACCUGAUGCUACUGACCUUGGAGAUUAAGGAGAUGUUGAAAGCAGCACUGCAGUCUCAUAAUUUUGGAAGUCUCCCUUGAAAGUCUUUCCACCUAAUCCCAGCUCUUUGUGAACACAAGAGGAUGGGAGAACAUUCCUCACAGGAUACUAUUAACACUGGGAAGAAUUUGAGUCAGUGCUUGGCUGUGAAUCUCUGCUUCUGCUUCCAUCAGCUACUGGAUGAAGAAGACUCUAGGAUGGCAUUUAAGGCCCAUGCUCAUGCCAAGUGAGCUAACAUAACUUGACCAGCUGAGCUAGUCAAAGUACUUAAUAGACUCAUCUAAGAGCUCUACAAGAGUGGCUUUUUGCAUACAACAACAGGGCCUGCAGCUGUCAGGUUUCUUCAGCUGUCAUCAGCAGGCAUCACUGACAUCAACUAGAAUUACCAUUGAGGAACUGAAAUGUAGACACCGGCAUUGCUCUGCCCUUACACAAGCAGCUGCCUGAAGGGAGUGUAAGACUGAGCUCUCAAGACUAAAAUGACUUCUUCAAAUCUACAAGGAAGAAUUUUUAUUUACAUACUCAGUUUCACCUUCAUCAAAAUGCUUUCUUUUGUAAGUUUCUUUGGUUACAAUGUCUUAUCACAGUGAUAGAAAAGAAACUAAGACACUUAUCAAAUAAUAAGUAUUUCAAAAUGUGCUUGAAUAAUAAGAUGUUAAUGAUUAUUAAUGUCAGUGAUUAUGUAAUUCAUUGUUUUAAUUGAGAACCUUUAGUUAUUGUCUAUUAAUUUUGGAACAUUAAUUUAUAAACGUUAUUAUUAUUUUUGAG